rnacentral:lncRNA from 1 species
UUUCUUUUGAAAAUGGAAGUGUUUGAAAUAAUUUUUGGAAUUCAUGGCCUCAUAGUAUGUUUAAGAUUCCCAGGAAUUUCAGAUUGAUGGGUCCCGAAGAGAAACACAUCCUAGGAGUAAAGCUCUCCAGGAGGACCAGCAGCACAGAGGACUCCCAGCCAGCACAGGGCUGGAGGGCUGGAG